rnacentral:rRNA from 1 species
ACGGGGGCCCGCACAAGCGGUGGAGCAUGUGGUUUAAUUCGAUGCAACGCGAAGAACCUUACCUACUCUUGACAUCCAGAGAACUUAGCAGAGAUGCUUUGGUGCCUUCGGGAACUCUGAGACAGGUGCUGCAUGGCUGUCGUCAGCUCGUGUUGUGAAAUGUUGGGUUAAGUCCCGCAACGAGCGCAACCCUUAUCCUUUGUUGCCAGCGGUUCGGCCGGGAACUCAAAGGAGACUGCCAGUGAUAAACUGGAGGAAGGUGGGGAUGACGUCAAGUCAUCAUGGCCCUUACGAGUAGGGCUACACACGUGCUACAAUGGCGCAUACAAAGAGAAGCGACCUCGCGAGAGCAAGCGGACCUCAUAAAGUGCGUCGUAGUCCGGAUUGGAGUCUGCAACUCGACUCCAUGAAGUCGGAAUCGCUAGUAAUCGUGGAUCAGAAUGCCACGGUGAAUACGUUCCCGGGCCUUGUACACACCGCCCGUCACACCAUGGGAG